UACGGAGGGUGCAAGCGUUAUCCGGAUUCACUGGGUUUAAAGGGUGCGUAGGUGGGUUGGUAAGUCAGUGGUGAAAUCUCCGAGCUUAACUUGGAAACUGCCAUUGAUACUAUCAAUCUUGAAUAUUGUGGAGGUCAGCGGAAUAUGUCAUGUAGCGGUGAAAUGCUUAGAUAUGACAUAGAACACCAAUUGCGAAGGCAGCUGGCUACACAAAUAUUGACACUGAGGCACGAAAGCGUGGGGAGCAAACAGG
rnacentral:rRNA from 1 species